rnacentral:rRNA from 1 species
UUUAAAUGUAAAAUAAAUAUACUAAAGUAGUAUUAGUUAUGUUCUUGAAAUUUAAAGAUUUUGGCGGUAUUUUAGUCUAUUUAGAGGAGCCUGUUCUAUAAUUGAUAAUCCACGAUUAAUUUUACUUGAUUUAUAUAAAUUUGUAUACCGUCGUUAUAAGAAGAUUUUAAAAGAAUAUAAAUUUUUAGUAUUUUUGAUAAAAAAAUAUAUCAGAUCAAGGUGCAGUUUAUAGUUAAGAAGAAAUGGGCUACAAUAAAUUUAUUUAAUUAUACGGAUUAAAGAGAGUAAUAACUUUAUGAAGGUGGAUUUAAUAGUAAUAAAAUUAAUUUAAAUUUUAUGAUUUUAGCUCUAAAAUAUG